rnacentral:rRNA from 1 species
UACGUAGGGUCCGAGCGUUGUCCGGAAUUACUGGGCGUAAAGAGCUCGUAGGUGGUUUGUCGCGUUGUUCGUGAAAACUCACAGCUCAACUGUGGGCGUGCGGGCGAUACGGGCAGACUUGAGUACUGCAGGGGAGACUGGAAUUCCCGGUGUAGCGGUGAAAUGCGCAGAUAUCGGGAAGAACACCCGUGGCGAAGGCGGGUCUCUGGGACGGUACUGACGCUGAGACGCGAAAGCGUGGGGAGCAAACAGG